UACGGAGGAUCCAAGCGUUAUCCGGAAUCAUUGGGUUUAAAGGGUCCGUAGGCGGUUUGGUAAGUCAGUGGUGAAAGCCCAUCGCUCAACGGUGGAACGGCCAUUGAUACUGCCAGACUUGAAUUAUUAGGAAGUAACUAGAAUAUGUAGUGUAGCGGUGAAAUGCUUAGAUAUUACAUGGAAUACCAAUUGCGAAGGCAGGUUACUACUAAUGGAUUGACGCUGAUGGACGAAAGCGUGGGGAGCGAACAGG
rnacentral:rRNA from 1 species